rnacentral:rRNA from 1 species
UACGGGGGGAGCAAGCGUUGUUCGGAUUUACUGGGCGUAAAGGGCGCGUAGGCGGCGCAACAAGUCACUUGUGAAAUCUCCGGGCUUAACCCGGAGCGGCCAAGUGAUACUGCUGUGCUAGAGUGCAGAAGGGGCAAUCGGAAUUCUUGGUGUAGCGGUGAAAUGCGUAGAUAUCAAGAGGAACACCUGAGGUGAAGACGGGUUGCUGGGCUGACACUGACGCUGAGGCGCGAAAGCCAGGGGAGCAAACGGG